UACGGAGGGUGCAAACGUUGCUCGGAAUCAUUGGGCGUAAAGCGCACGUAGGUGGCCUGUUAAGUCGGGUGUGAAAGCCCUGGGCUCAACCCAGGAAGUGCACUCGAAACUGGCAGGCUUGAGUACUGAAGAGGGUCGCGGAAUUCCCGGUGUAGAGGUGAAGUUCGUAGAUAUCGGGAGGAACACCAGUGGCGAAGGCGGCGACCUGGGCAGAUACUGACACUGAGGUGCGAAAGCGUGGGGAG
rnacentral:rRNA from 1 species